GACGAACGCUGGCGGCAUGCCUAACACAUGCAAGUCUAGGGGUAGCAAUACCACUGGCGCACGGGUGAGUAACACGUAGGUUAUCUGCCCCCAUCACAGACAUAACCCCGGGAAACCGGGGCUAAUAUCUGAUGAGGUCGCGAGAUCAAAGCUUCGGCGGAUGGGGAUGAGCCUGCGGCUGAUUAGCUAGUUGGUGAGGUAAUGGCUCACCAAGGCGACGAUCAGUAGCUGGUCUGAGAGGACGAACAGCCACACUGGAACUGAGACACGGUCCAGACUCCUACGGGAGGCAGCAGUGAGGAAUAUUGGUCAAUGGGAGCAAUCCUGAACCAGCAAUGCCGCGUGUGGGAUGACAGGGCUUCGCCUUGUAAACCACUGUCGGACGGGACGAAAGGAGGCCUCGGGCCUCUGGGACGGUACCGUCAAAGGAAGGGUCGGCUAACUACGUGCCAGCAGCCGCG
rnacentral:rRNA from 1 species